rnacentral:rRNA from 1 species
AUUGAACGCUGGCGGCAUGCUAUACACAUGCAAGUCGAACGGCAGCGCGGGCUUCGGCCUGGCGGCGAGUGGCGAACGGGUGAGUAAUACAUCGGAACGUGCCCAGCUGUGGGGGAUAGCUCGGCGAAAGCCGGAUUAAUACCGCAUACGACCUGUGGGUGAAAGCGGGGGAUCUUCGGACCUCGCGCUAUUGGAGCGGCCGAUGGCAGAUUAGCUAGUUGGUGGGGUAAAGGCCUACCAAGGCGACGAUCUGUAGCUGGUCUGAGAGGACGACCAGCCACACUGGGACUGAGACACGGCCCAGACUCCUACGGGAGGCAGCAGUGGGGAAUUUUGGACAAUGGGCGAAAGCCUGAUCCAGCAAUGCCGCGUGUGUGAUGAAGGCCUUCGGGUUGUAAAGCACUUUUGGCGGGAACGAAAAGGACUGUGCCAAUACCACGGUUCGAUGACGGUACCCGCAGAAUAAGCACCGGCUAACUACGUG